UGAAAAAACCCUCAAUAAACCACAUAAGUUUCUCCCCCCUUUGCCUCCAAAACUUUUUCACCAAAUAAUUCCUUCCCUCUUUUUAGUCUUAGUCUCAUCAAUUGGUGGCACAAACCUGUUUUCUGAGCCCCAAAAUUUCUUGUAAUUUGGGGCGCAAUCCAAUUAUUUCCUUGACAUAACGUCGAUUUUGGGUCAAAAAAAUUUGGCAGAAUCUACUACAAAUUUUGAAUUCUUCUUCAAGCCAUCUUCAAGGUAUUCUUUUUUUAUGACUGUGGGUGUUCGGGCCAACUUACGAGCACCUUGACUAAUCCCACGGGCCCUGUACUUUACAGUCGGGAUACUUACCUCAGUGGCCCUAAGAGGACUCAAACUAGUGACCAUUGAAGAGCAAACCCAAAGCAAGCUACCUCUUAGGGUUAAUGUUCUUCAUUGGUCAUAAACGAUGGCUUUAUUGGAAGACUCAUUUUUCAGAUACAGGACGGAUUUGAAGUAGGCAACUAUGAAGGGAUUUGGAUUACCAACAGAGAGAUAUUCGUUUGAUUUGGGUGGCUCGUUAGUGGGUAAAUCUGUAGCAUAUGAAUUUGAUGUUCAAAUUGAUAAUAAAGUUCUUCCACUUAAGCUUAUGGAAUAUAGAGAAUGUGAACUAAUUGAAGCAAGUAGAUUUACCCAUUUUUUGAGUAGACAUAAGGAAAGUGAAUAGGUGGAAAGUCGGCGACUGGACCAUCAGAUGCUUGUCUUGGCGCCUGUUCCAGUUGGUUGGUCCAAUGAAAUUGUGGAUUCAGGAUACGAAGAAUAUAAGGAUUUCACUACUGGUUCAGGGUUGGGGCAAGACAGUGGUGCUAGGGGUGGACAAACCUAGAGGAGAGCUGAAAUUCAGUUCAUUUGAAGCUCAUUAUUCUGGGAUAACUUAAACAGGAUCAACUGUAUAUUUAAUUCUUGAGGAUAAAGAGAUAUAUAUUUUUUAGGUGCAUUAUAAUUGAUACAUAGCAUGUUUGCUGUACUCUUUUAUAUUUAGAUGUAACCAUGGUGAAUAGUUGUCAUUUGUGUUUCGAUAAAAUAUUUUGUAUUCAA